rnacentral:rRNA from 1 species
AGGGUAGCUUGCUACCUGACCUAGCGGCGGACGGGUGAGUAAUGCUUAGGAAUCUGCCUAUUAGUGGGGGACAACAUUCCGAAAGGAAUGCUAAUACCGCAUACGCCCUACGGGGGAAAGCAGGGGAUCUUCGGACCUUGCGCUAAUAGAUGAGCCUAAGUCAGAUUAGCUAGUUGGUGGGGUAAAGGCCUACCAAGGCGACGAUCUGUAGCGGGUCUGAGAGGAUGAUCCGCCACACUGGGACUGAGACACGGCCCAGACUCCUACGGGAGGCAGCAGUGGGGAAUAUUGGACAAUGGGCGAAAGCCUGAUCCAGCCAUGCCGCGUGUGUGAAGAAGGCCUUUUGGUUGUAAAGCACUUUAAGCGAGGAGGAGGCUACUUGGAUUAAUACUCUAGGAUAGUGGACGUUACUCGCAGAAUAAGCACCGGCUAACUCUGUGCCAGCAGCCGCGGUAAUACAGAGGGUGCGAGCGUUAAUCGGAUUUACUGGGCGUAAAGCGUGCGUAGGCGGCUUCUUAAGUCGGAUGUGAAAUCCCUGAGCUUAACUUAGGAAUUGCAUUCGAUACUGGGAAGCUAGAGUAUGGGAGAGGAUGGUAGAAUUCCAGGUGUAGCGGUGAAAUGCGUAGAGAUNUGGAGGAANACCGAUGGCGAAGGCAGCCAUCUGGNNNAAUANUGACGCUNANGUACGAAAGCNUGGGGAGCAAACAGGAUUAGAUACCCUGGUAGUCCAUGCCGUAAACGAUGUCUACUAGCCGUUGGGGCCUUUGAGGCUUUAGUGGCGCAGCUAACGCGAUAAGUAGACCGCCUGGGGAGUACGGUCGCAAGACUAAAACUCAAAUGAAUUGACGGGGGCCCGCACAAGCGGUGGAGCAUGUGGUUUAAUUCGAUGCAACGCGAAGAACCUUACCUGGUCUUGACAUAGUAAGAACUUUCCAGAGAUGGAUUGGUGCCUUCGGGAACUUACAUACAGGUGCUGCAUGGCUGUCGUCAGCUCGUGUCGUGAGAUGUUGGGUUAAGUCCCGCAACGAGCGCAACCCUUUUCCUUAUUUGCCAGCGGGUUAAGCCGGGAACUUUAAGGAUACUGCCAGUGACAAACUGGAGGAAGGCGGGGACGACGUCAAGUCAUCAUGGCCCUUACGACCAGGGCUACACACGUGCUACAAUGGUCGGUACAAAGGGUUGCUACCUAGCGAUAGGAUGCUAAUCUCAAAAAGCCGAUCGUAGUCCGGAUUGGAGUCUGCAACUCGACUCCAUGAA